GGCCAGCCUACAGAGCGGACUACAGAGCGAGACCCUGUCUCCAAAAGCAAGCAAGCAAACAACAGUUAAGAGACUAAGAUGAGAGAGCGGACUCUAGCUGCAGGUCACCGCAUCUUAGGCUCCUGCUAUCUGGACACCUGGAGAAACUGGCUGCCGGAGAGCGCGGGAGUCGGAGCGCGCCGGUGGGUCUUGUUCACUAGAGUGUUUGUGGACGCUGGGCCCCUAAAGAGCUGCCUCCACGGGCGUGCAUCCCAGAGCCAUGCACCGUCCUCUCGUGUAAGCUGGUUCCCUUCCGCGGGACUGCAGGUGGGUUCCGGUCUUUGCUGUUUCGAACAGCGCUCCUCAGAGCCACGUCUGCAUCUACGUAUUUGGGUCCCCCGAACACGUUCUCAGAGGUGCAGGUGUGAGGGCAAAGGGCACGCUCAUUUAAGAUUCUGAUCACAUCUGCAACGCGUUCAACUCGAGACCCCGGAGGUUCUGUCUUCCGGGCGACGAGGGGAUCACUCCCGCGGCCGCUCCGGCGGGGUCCGCCUGCACCUCCGGGCGCGGGCGGGCGGCAUCGCUUCCCCGGAAUCGGCGGUGUCGGACCCAGCCCGCGGCCCCGGGGCUGCGCCGCCUCCCCCGGAACUCUCGGGUUCCUGGAACCGGGCUCGGUGACCUCAAGCCAGUGACUUCACGUCCGGGACCUUCUGGGAAUUCUCGGCCUCAGCUUUUCAUUUUACAAGAAGUUAAAGCAUUUUUAUUGGCCCCUAAAAAUAUUGUGGGCCUUAGGAACCACAACUACUGCAUCUCAUGGGAAGCUGGCCUUGGGCAAAAGUGGGCUGGGAAGAAUAUGAAAGACCUGGAGAGGACAACCUGGAGAGGAAUGGGGAUGAGGAGAGAAGAAACUGUGUGUGCUGCAGGGCACUGGCGACCACAAAUGGAAUGUCCUUCAUGAAUAACAAAGCAGGAAG